GAGGGCGCUUACCACUUUGUGAUUCAUGACUUGGGUGAAGUCGUAACAAGGUAACCGUAGGGGAACCUGCGGUUGGAUCACCUCCUUACCUUAAAGAA
rnacentral:rRNA from 1 species